AGGGGGUGGGAACAGGCUCAUUCCGCCUGGCCUGGCCCGGCCCACAGGAUGAUGCUAGGAAAAUUAAAAAAAGUAAAUAAUGCUAAUAAAAACAUUCUCUAUAUUGAUGACAUCUUACAGUGUGAUCAAUAUCCUUUAGUUUCAUACUUUCAGUUUUUUACUUUCAUUCUACCAAAUCUAAUUUCGUAAUAUAUUGGAGAACAGGCCCGUUUCUAGGACGGUUUCAUCAGGCGUACGCGCCUGGACCUAAGUUAACUUCCGGUCUGUGUUUGUUUAUCAGUCUUGUUAGCGGCUACAAACACAGUUAAAGUUAAAGUGAUGAGUAAUGAAGUUGGGCUCAGGUUGAUGUGCUGUGGGAUGUGUUUCACAUACAUUUAUUUAUUUGUGGCGACCCGCCACGAUAUAAAAACUGACCGAUUUUCCAAAUGGCUUCGUUGAAUAAACAUGAGCAUGUAAUGCACGUUUAAAAAUCAAAACGAGGCGCAGGCGUUUUUAUAUCACUGUAUUUCUGAAGGAACACUGUCUUUAGAAAAUACUCGAUGUCAUUUUGGCCGCAUUUACACUGCAUGGUUCAAGUGACCCAAUUCCGAUUUUUUUUCCUCCCAUGUGGCACAGAUCGGAUAUGGCCCACGACCGUGUAAACAGGAAAAAAUCACAUGGAUUCCGAUAUUCUCCGAUCGGUUUCAGGCCUCAUUCAUAUGUAGAAAUAAAUCAGAUUUGAAUCGGAUACGUGCAUUUGCGCCUGCCGUGUAAGCGGUCAGAUCGGAUAUUCUCCUGUAAAUGCGACUCCUACGUCAUUGAAAAGUGAGGUUUUUGAAACAUUUCGCGGUACAGACAUACCUGUAACAAAUGAAACAUCUCUAGUUGAGUAGCAGAGUAUUAAUUUCGUUCGUUUGUGUUAAAUAAAAGGCGGUUUGACGCUGAAAUGUGUUGUUUUUGAAAUCACGCUGAGUGCUCCUGCUGUCAGUUUCGACGGCUCGUGCUCAGACGAGCGCUUCAGUCCCGUUCGUUCCAUUGAAACCACAAAAUAAAAUGCACACAAACAUGUCCCUGCCUUUGAUAUACAAUCACUGAUGAACGCAUUUAGUUUCAAUUACUAAAAAAACACAAGACGAUGUGACAUGCUUAAUAGCUAAUAUAUCUACCACCUGAGUAUUCCACUCGCAAGCUUUCAGCGGAGCUGCGUAGCCUACAUCACUGUCCUGAAGAAUUACUAGGAUAUAUAAUUAUUUUGAUGUAUAGAUGUAACUAUUGCAUUAAAAACGUUUCUAUAUGAAUUCCAUGUCAAUAAAUUAAACUUAAUGUACCAUUCAAAUUGAUUUGUGAUGUCAUGCUAUUUUUGGCUUGUUUCACCAAGUGCAGUGUAAAAGGCACACAUCGGAUACGGGUCACUUUUAAAAGAAAUGUAAGCACGCCGUCCAAAAAAAUCGGAUAUAGUCACAAAAUCGGAAUUGGUCAUCAAGACCUGCAGUGUAAAUGCAGCCUGUCAUUUCAUCUUGCAUGUUAUAUGCCUGAUAAAGCGGCGUUUGUAAGCUCAGCGCUGCUUUGUGUAACUACAGCCCAACAGCUGUUUCCGGGGAAACCUCUAGUUCUCCGCUUUAAAGCGCCUCCUGCUGGCAGAGAAUAAAUUUGCAUUUUUAAAAAGUCUGUCCAAGUAGUUAUCGCUGCGCGCCCGCCGGAUUCUUUAGCUAAACGGCCCCAAACCGUUUCCCAUUCAUUCUCAAUGGUAGUGCUAAACCACUACGGAUGCAAUAUACUUUCGGCCGCUAGCGCUCUCGUGGCGCUCUUCCGCGCUUCGGCACCGCGGGAAGUUUGAAUUCACAGAAGAAGAAAACAGCCUCGGUUGUUUCAUUCAACGCAUUCUCAAGCAUCUGUCAAAGGUAAGAUACUUUAUGUGACAUCGGUUUACGUUUUGUUACCGUUAAUGCUGAAAUCACAUUAGUAAACUUUGUUCGUUUCCAAACUUUGCCCUGUCGGGUUUGUUUACUAUAGUUCAUCGUAGGUUGAUUAUUUGCACGCCAAAUUAUGAAUGAACAUGGCUGUAAUUGUUUCUGUGUAUUGUUUGUCAUCAUUAAUACGUCAUCUGUUGAUUACAAGCUAAAUUAUGAAUGGGCGUAACCAUUAUUCUCAUUUUUGUAAUGAUAUUACAUGUAUUCCACAGUUCAAAAAUGUUUUCUGACCAUGGUUUUACUAUAGUAACCAUAAUUUAGCCAUGGUAUUUUAGCAGUAGAGUCACAAAAAUAAAUUUACCAUUGUUGUUACUGUAUUGGCCAUUAUAUUUACAGUACAGCCAUGAAAUUGUAAAUAAAUUUCAGUCUGCCAAGAACAGCAGGAGUACUACAGUAUUAUAGUGUGUGUGUGUGUGUGUGUGUGUGUGUGAGAGAGAGUGUGAGUGAGUGUGAGAGAGAGUGUGUGUACCUGUUUUUCUAUUCAGGUGGGGACUUAAAACUGAAUACACACAGACUCAUGGGGACUCGUGUCACGGAGACCACUGUUUCUACACUGCUGUCAUCUUUUCCUGGUACCCAUGUAGAUCCUCAGUCAGAUACAGGAAGUACAUAUACGCCACCUCUGCCUCUGCUGGCCUCACCUGCGACCCGUACUGGACCUGUGAAGAGUGGUGGCAGGGUGUUUGUACUGGACCACAAACACAGAGCCCAUUGACAACUUGCUUAAUAAACACAGUGGGAAGAAGGAAAUCCUCAGGAGUAUGCAGCAAUGGUCCACAAUUCCUCUACUGAUCCAAACAGCAUGCUCCAUUCGACCACAAAGCUGCACAUUUCACAGUAUGUCAAGCACCUGGCCAAACUGCUGAACACCAGUUCUUCAUUAAACAACUCCAGAGAAACGUCUUGAUAGCGGGUAGUAAAACAACCAGAGUGCCACUGGUAACAAUGAAGCCUGCGGAUGUAAACCCACCAGCACCUGCUCUGACCACACUCCUAACUCAUGAGACCAUUGAGACAAUUGUGUUAUGGAGUAGCAGCAGCAACCUGAGCAGGAGAAGACUUGUCUUGCUUGUGGACAGCCAAAGAUGGUUCCUCUAUCCACUUUUCUUAAUCAGCAAGGCCCUGUCAGGUACUUCUACUGUUCCACAAAGGUUUUUAAUGCUUACAGUGAUUAAGGACUAACAAACCCCAGAGUUAUCUAAGAGUGAACUUGAGGACACAAAGAAAUGGGUGGAGGAGAAAGGACAGCAAAAACACAAAAGGCCUGAAACUGAACACGUUAGUCGCUUGUGCAGAUUUUGUAAAAUGGAGCUGAAGCAGGGUCAAAACAGUCCUCACAUACACACAGGCUUUCCUGGCGUAGCAGGGAAAUAUGUUCAUUGCCCUGCUAAAGUCUUUUCCAUUUACCAACCUCAGGACAUGCAGAAAGAUGACCCGGAAAGAGUUUAAAGAGUCUGCAUUUUACGAGAUGGAAAGACAGAGAUGGGUGGCAGAAAAAAAGAAAUAAAUGACAUUUCUUGAUCUUUUGCCCCUUAGUAAUAUUUAACUCAUGUAUAUACUGUAUAUUUUGAUUUGUUUAUUGUUCAGUGUGAGACUGUAAUAUGUAUAUUUUGUCAGAAUUCAAUUUUUC